UUCUCUAUUUAUUCUCUCCUUCCUAAACGAAGAAUUAAGUUUCAACAUUCUAUUUCUCAAGCGGAAUCUCCAACAGGAAUCAUGAACUAAGCUCUAAAGCUGCACAAGCUAGCGUCCACUGUCGAUAUUGAAAAUCUUGCAAAUCAAGAAAUGAUCAAUCUAAUUUUCAAGAAUGAUCACUAAUUGUUAGCUGCAAGCCUACAAUCUCUACCUUAGUUUAUUCUCUUAAUGCAGUAAUGGAGUUAGGAAAUAGAUCUAUGCUUUGGAUGCCUUGAUGAUGCACAAAAGAAGAUGGAUGAUGAGAUUCGUGUGCUGGCUCCGAAGUGAAAGAUGCAUCUAAGGAGGAACCUGCAGAUCGUAAUCAUACAAAAUCAAUGUUUUCUGGUUUUGCUAAGAGAGAUCAAUCUCCUUCCAAGCCAGCAAAUGGGGAAAAAAAAUCUAACAGUGUGCCUCAAAAAGAAGGUCAAGGUAGAAAUUACAUGUCAUUGCUCUUGAAAAACCUGUAAUUGUCAAAGGAGUGUCCAUCAAUUACUAGAUGUUGUGCUAGAGCCUUUGCCCGUGGUCAGAUGGAGCAACCUAACUAAUUCCUUUUUCAAAGUGCAAAGUGCAACAAAGGCAAAUUUGCGUUUGUUGUAAUUCAAACGCUACCAAUUCUUCAAUUUGAACUUUCUUAUUUGUAGCAUAAUUGUUCUAUAUUAUAGUUUCUUUCCUUUAUUUUUCUA